rnacentral:rRNA from 1 species
CCUACGGGAGGCAGCAGUGAGGAAUCUUGGUCAAUGGGCGCAAGCCUGAACCAGCCAAGUCGCGUGAGGGAUGACGGUCCUAUGGAUUGUAAACCUCUUUUGUCGGGGAGCAAGGCCCGCCACGUGUGGCGGGAAGGAGAGUACCCGAAGAAAAAGCAUCGGCUAACUCCGUGCCAGCAGCCGCGGUAAUACGGAGGAUGCGAGCGUUAUCCGGAUUUAUUGGGUUUAAAGGGUGCGUAGGCGGAAGGUUAAGUCAGCGGUCAAAUGUCGGUGCUCAACACCGGCCUGCCGUUGAAACUGGUCGUCUUGAGUGAGCGAGAAGUAUGCGGAAGGCGUGGUGUAGAGGUGAAAUGCAUAGAUAUCACGCAGAACUCCGAUUGCGAAGGCAGCAUACCGGCGCUCAACUGACGCUGAGGCACGAAAGCGUGGGGAUCGAACAGGAUUAGAUACCCCUGUAGUC